rnacentral:tRNA from 1 species
GCCGCUGUAGCUCAGUUGGUAGAGCGAUGCAUUCGUAAUGCAUAGGUCGCGAGUUCAAGUCUCGCCGGCGGCU